AUGCUCGCUUCAGCAGCACAUAUGCAAAAAUUGGAACAAUACAGAGAUUAGCAUGGCCCCUAUGCAAGGAUGACAUACAAAACCAUGAAACAUUCCAUGUGAAU
rnacentral:snRNA from 1 species